ACUCAAAUGAAUAGACGGGGGCCCGCACAAGCAGCGGAGCGUGCGGUUUAAUUCGACGCAACGCGCAGAACCUUACCAGGGCUUGACAUGGGACUGCGGUCGGCGGAAACGCCGGCGCCUUCGAGGGGGUCCCACAGGUGUUGCAUGGCUGUCGUCAGCUCGUGCCGUGAGGUGUUGGGUUAAGUCCCGCAACGAGCGCAACCCCCGCGGCCAGUUGGAGGCUAUCUGGCCGGACUGCCGGGAGCAAACCGGAGGAAGGCGGGGAUGACGUCAAGUCAGCAUGACCCUUACGUCCUGGGCGACACGCACGCUACAAUGGCCGGUACAAAGGGUCGCCAACCCGCAAGGGGGAGCCAAUCCCACAAAGCCGGCCUCAGUGCAGAUUGGGGGCUGCAACUCGCCCCCAUGAAGACGGAGUUGCUAGUAACCGCCGGUCAGCCAUACGGCGGUGAAUCUGUUCCCGGGCCUUGCACACACCGCCCGU
rnacentral:rRNA from 1 species